CGAAAAUCCGUAAAUCAAAUUGAUUUAGAUUACGGAAUCAGGAUGUUUACGGCAAUGGAAGGCAUGCUCGAGUAAACGCAACGAUGCGUAAACACCUGUCAACAUCGUGGUUCUUCCAUACGCGUGGAGUAAAGAAGCAAAAUGAACGAGGAAAUCAGGAACGCCUGGAGUAGUGACGUAACCAAGGAGACGAGUAUCUAGAGCAGCGGCUAGAUUAUCUAACCUCAAAAGACAUUGCAUCAGAGCCCGUAUACGACAUGAAGCAUCAUCAGCGAUUCCUCUCUCGUAGUACAGGAACGUCAGGAAGGCAGGAUAGCGAGGACAAGUCGUUAAGGGAUGGCGAGAGAAGACGAGGAUAAGUUUUCUAGGGUGUAAACAGGACGAUAAGCCUGUCAAAAGGUCGAUACUCACAUCUCGACACGUUCGACCUUAACGCCCCAAGGAUCAGUCGCCUCGUCUAAGGAUGCCUGCAUGGUGUGAGAUAUGGUUUCCCUCUCGGAGAGGAUCUC